ensembl:lncRNA
CUGGGAAGGUUUGCACCCUCAGGUAAUUCUGCUGCAGGAGAGUCCCCUCAAGCAUGAGAUAGCCACCUUCCUUGGUAAGUGCUUCUUAUCUCAGCCUGGGUAUCUUAGUGCUGUUGAUGAGGCUUAAAAACAGCUAGGCAAAUUCCUGUGAGAAAAAUCCAUCAGGAGCUGUUAACACAAUGAUUUGGUUACAACUCCCAGAUGGGAAUUGCUCUGCCAGGAAGCCCUGAUCUCUUGUCAGAAGAGCGUAGUAGAGGAAAUAUCUGUCUGUCCUGUCCAGAAGAAUAAGGGAAAUAUUUGCUAUCAGUUUAUGUCAGGGGGUACAGGCUUAGAUGGAUGUUUGUGCUGACCCAGUAAGUUCAGGACUUCCACCUGAGCACAGCACUUGAGCUGUGAGGAGCCCACAACCCAGGAUGGAGUCCAAAACCAAAAGCUCCUCAGUGAAUCUGCACUUUACUGCCAGGCCGUAAGUUAUGUGUUUCGUCCAUAACAGAGCAAGGGCCCUUUACACAAAAGUACAAUGUCACCCAUUUGUCUGCAUUUGUCAGAGCUGAUUUCUCUGUGGUUCAGACCAGGAGGCACCUUUUGCAGCUGCUUCAACGAGCUGAAUUUUUGCUGUCCUUUAUCUCAUUUCUAUACAGAAAAUCCUCACCAAAUGCUUUGGAAUUCAUCUGCACAGGAACUGAAGGAGCAGGGCGAUGGUUUUGUGUUCCUGAGGAGGAACAAGUGCUUGGCAGGACUGCCUCUGCCUGCAGGGAAACGUCUGAAAAAGCAUGUUGAAAUCACAUAUUGGUACUUCGAAGGCCUUCCUCUGGACACUGACAGCCUGACAAAGUCCACAGCUUGCACAAGAUUUCUACGGCUCUCUCCUACAUAUUACCCGCAGGUAGUAAUACAUUGUAGGAAUAGCUAAAUUUAGCUUAGUUCUGUGUGUAACUAAGUCAUGAGUAAACCAGCCUAUGAUGUGAUUAGAUUCCAAGGAGAGGGAGUUAAUCUGAUGUUCUGGAAAAGUAUGUCUGAGUGCUCAAGGCAUUGAAAUGAAGAUUUCACCGUGCCAAAAGUGAAGAAGUGAGAGAGCUUUAAGCAAUAGCACACUGUCCUCUCACCAGUUCAAUCUAGCAGCCUUGUUUUGUCUUCAGCCCGGAACAAUCUCAGUGGCACCAAAACAGGUUUUAAUCUCUGCUCAGUCACCUUCCUUGGUAACUUCAUU